rnacentral:rRNA from 1 species
GACGGAGGAUGCAGGCGUUAUCCGGAAUGAUUGGGCGUAAAGCGUCCGCAGGUGGCAGUUCAAGUCUGCUGUCAAAGACCGGGGCUUAACUUCGGAAAGGCAGUGGAAACUGAACAGCUAGAGUAUGGUAGGGGCAGAGGGAAUUCCUGGUGUAGCGGUGAAAUGCGUAGAUAUCAGGAAGAACAUCGGUGGCGAAGGCGCUCUGCUGGACCAUAACUGACACUCAGGGACGAAAGCUAGGGGAGCGAAUGGG